GGGGGGUGCAAGCGUAGUUCGGAAUUAUUGGGCGUAAAGAGCGUGUAGGCGACCGGAUGUGUCAGAUGUGAAAGCCCUGGGCUUAACCCAGGAAGUGCAUUUGAAACUGUCCGGCUUGAGUAGGGGAGAGGGAAGUGGAAUUCCUGGUGUAGAGGUGAAAUUCGUAGAUAUCAGGAGGAACACCGGUGGCGAAGGCGACUUCCUGGCCCUAUACUGACGCUGAGACGCGAGAGCGUGGGUAGCAAACAGGAUUAGAUACCCUGGUAGUCCACGCCGUAAACGAUGUUCACUAGGUGUUGGGGGUAUUGACCCCCUCAGUGCCGGAGCUAACGCGUUAAGUGAACCGCCUGGGGAGUACGGUCGCAAGACUA
rnacentral:rRNA from 1 species